AAGCCUUCGGGCGAGUAAAGUGGCGGACGGGCGAGUAACACGUAAUCAAGCUGCCCGCGAGACGGGGAUAACCUCGGGAAACCGAGGCUAAUACCCGAUGGUCCACCCGAUUCGCAUGGAUCGGGUGGUAAAUGGAUGGGAUCCUUCGGGACCAUCUGCUCGCGGAGGUGAUUGCGGCCCAUCAGCUAGUUGGUAGGGUAACGGCCUACCAAGGCAGCGACGGGUAGCCGGCCUUAGAGGGUGGUCGGUCGCACUGGGACUGAGACACUGCCCAGACUCCUACGGGAGGCUGCAGUCGAGAAUCUUCCGCAAUGGACGCAAGUCUGACGGAGCGACGCCGCGUGGAGGAUGAAGGCCUUCGGGUUGUAAACUCCUGUCACGAGUUAAGAAAGGUCUGCGGUGAACAGCCGCAGGGUUUGACGAAGGCUCGAGAGGAAGCACUGGCUAACUCUGUGCCAGCAGCCGCGGUAAUACAGAGAGUGCAAACGUUGUUCGGAAUCACUGGGCUUAAAGCGCGCGUAGGCGGCAUCGCAAGUGUCGGGUGAAAUCCCACGGCUCACCCGUGGAACUGCCCGGCAAACUGCGGUGCUAGAGUAUGGUAGGGGAGAGCGGAACUCCUGGUGGAGCGGUGAAAUGCGUAGAUAUCAGGAGGAACACCGGUGGCGAAGGCGGCUCUCUGGUCCAUGACUGACGCUGA
rnacentral:rRNA from 1 species